CCCCAGCAACAAGCUAACAACCCCGGGCAACAAGCUAACAACCCCAGACAACAAGCUAACUUAGCGGUGGUGGUUUAGAAAGAGGUUGCUAGGUUGCUACACCCCAUUGAUCCAGAUGUUCCCCACCAUAGUACAACAACUCCCCACACCAACUACCAAAACUAUCACCCCACUGGCCGUUAUGACCCCGUGGAAAUUACAACAACGAUGAUGAAGACGAUGAGGAAGAUGAGGAGGAAGAGGACCCAUUCGCUGGGUAUAGAGGCUACCCAUCUCAGUACUACCAGCCCAAUUACCCUCACCCCCUGCACCCCAAUCCCACUCCCAGGACACUGAGCUAAGGUCCCCAGGGAUAAUGAUGAGCCGUUUCUCCAGAGACGUGGUCACACAGAGAAGAGCCACCGCUAAUACAGCCCAGACAGGACAGACAGACCAGACUGGACAGAGGAGCGAAGCUGCAGCAGAUACUGAAGUGGAGGUGAUUGGAGAAGUCCAGACAGGACAGACUGGACAGAGAGACCAGAUUGGACAGAGGAGCAAUGUUGCAGUAGAUACUGAAGGAGAGGUGGAGGUGAUUGGAGAAGUCCAGACAGGACAGACUGGACAGAGAGACCAGAUUGGACAGAGGAGCUAUGUUGCAGUAGAUACUGAAGGAGAGGUGGAGGUGAUUGGAGAAGUCCAGACUGGACAGAGGAGCGAUACUGGACAGAGGAGCGAUGUUGCAGUAGAUACUGAAGGAGAGGUGGAGGUGAUUGGAGAAGUCCAGACUGGACAGACAGUCCAACCACCUCUCUAUGUCCCUGUGGGUUGAUGAAGAUGUCAAAAAUAUGUUCGG
ensembl:lncRNA